UCCGCCCGCUGGCGGCGUGCCUAAUACAUGCAAGUUGAGCGCUGAAGGUUGGUACUUGUACCAACUGGAUGAGCAGCGAACGGGUGAGUAACGCGUGGGGAAUCUGCCUUUGAGCGGGGGACAACAUUUGGAAACGAAUGCUAAUACCGCAUAAAAACUUUAAACACAAGUUUUAAGUUUGAAAGAUGCAAUUGCAUCACUCAAAGAUGAUCCCGCGUUGUAUUAGCUAGUUGGUGAGGUAAAGGCUCACCAAGGCGAUGAUACAUAGCCGACCUGAGAGGGUGAUCGGCCACAUUGGGACUGAGACACGGCCCAAACUCCUACGGGAGGCAGCAGUAGGGAAUCUUCGGCAAUGGACGAAAGUCUGACCGAGCAACGCCGCGUGAGUGAAGAAGGGUUUCGGAUCGUAAAACUCUGUUGGUAGAGAAGAACGUUGGUGAGAGUGGAAAGCUCAUCAAGUGACGGUAACUACCCAGAAAGGGACGGCUAACUACGUG
rnacentral:rRNA from 1 species